CGACCGCUGGCGGCAUGCCUAACACAUGCAAGUCGAACGAGACCUUCGGGUCUAGUGGCGCACGGGUGCGUAACGCGUGGGAACCUGCCUUUAGGUUCGGAAUAACUCAGAGAAAUUUGAGCUAAUACCGGAUGAUGUCUUCGGACCAAAGAUUUAUCGCCUUUAGAUGGGCCCGCGUUGGAUUAGCUAGUUGGUGGGGUAAAGGCCUACCAAGGCGACGAUCCAUAGCUGGUCUGAGAGGAUGAUCAGCCACACUGGGACUGAGACACGGCCCAGACUCCUACGGGAGGCAGCAGUGGGGAAUAUUGGACAAUGGGCGAAAGCCUGAUCCAGCAAUGCCGCGUGAGUGAUGAAGGCCUUAGGGUUGUAAAGCUCUUUUACCCGAGAUGAUAAUGACAGUAUCGGGAGAAUAAGCUCCGGCUAACUCCGUG
rnacentral:rRNA from 1 species